rnacentral:lncRNA from 1 species
UUUUCUUUGUUGUUUUCUCUUUCCUCUUAUACGUUUGGACCUCAUCGUGGCUGCUUCUGGCGUAGGCCCCGUCUUGUGUGGGUAAUUUUUACUUCUUUCUUGUCUGUAUCGUCCGUCUUGCCACCUCUUCUUCUUGCCUGGUCGUGGGAUCGGGAAAACCUUCAUAGUCUUGUUGUGAAGUUACUCCGGCGACCCCAACAAUGCUCCUUUUACCUCUCCUCACGACUACGCGGUUUUUCGCUAUCGGGUCUUCUAUGAAGAAGACUUGUUAGCAUUUGGAAGCAAACUGCCAUGGUUCAAGCAGUGCCGAGAUUCUUUUGACGUUC